rnacentral:rRNA from 1 species
GAACGCUGGCGGCGUGCCUAAUACAUGCAAGUCGAGCGAACGGACGAGAAGCUUGCUUUUCUGAUGUUCGCGGCGGACGGGUGAGUAACACGUGGAUAACCUACCUAUAAGACUGGGAUAACUUCGGGAAACCGGAGCUAAUACCGGAUAAUAUUUUGAACCGCAUGGUUCAAAAGUGAAAGACGGUCUUGCUGUCACUUAUAGAUGGAUCCGCGCUGCAUUAGCUAGUUGGUAAGGUAACGGCUUACCAAGGCAACGAUGCAUAGCCGACCUGAGAGGGUGAUCGGCCACACUGGAACUGAGACACGGUCCAGACUCCUACGGGAGGCAGCAGUAGGGAAUCUUCCGCAAUGGGCGAAAGCCUGACGGAGCAACGCCGCGUGAGUGAUGAAGGUCUUCGGAUCGUAAAACUCUGUUAUUAGGGAAGAACAUAUGUGUAAGUAACUGUGCACAUCUUGACGGUACCUAAUCAGAAAGCCACGGCUAACUACGUG